GACGAACGCUGGCGGCGUGCCUAAUACAUGCAAGUUGAGCGCUGAAGGUUGGUACUUGUACCAACUGGAUGAGCAGCGAACGGGUGAGUAACGCGUGGGGAAUCUGCCUUUGAGCGGGGGACAACAUUUGGAAACGAAUGCUAAUACCGCAUAAAAACUUUAAACACAAGUUUUAAGUUUGAAAGAUGCAAUUGCAUCACUCAAAGAUGAUCCCGCGUUGUAUUAGCUAGUUGGUGAGGUAAAGGCUCACCAAGGCGAUGAUACAUAGCCGACCUGAGAGGGUGAUAGGCCACAUUGGGACUGAGACACGGCCCAAACUCCUACGGGAGGCAGCAGUAGGGAAAAUUCGGCAAUGGAGGAAAGUCUGACCGAGAAACGCCGCGUGAGUGAAGAAGGGUGUCGGAUCGUAAAAAUCUGUUGGUAGGGAAGAACGAUGGUGAGAGUGGAAAGCUCAUCAAGUGACGGUAACUACCCAGAAAAGGACGGCUAAAUACGUG
rnacentral:rRNA from 1 species